UACGUAGGGGGCAAGCGUUGUCCGGAUUUAUUGGGCGUAAAGAGCGUGUAGGCGGCUAUACAGGUCCGCUGUGAAAACUCGAGGCUCAACCUCGAGACGUCGGUGGAAACCGUAUGGCUAGAGUCCGGAAGAGGAGAGUGAAUUCCUGGUGUAGCGGUGAAAUGCGCAGAUAUCAGGAGGAACACCGAUGGCGAAGGCAGGUCUCUGGGCAUUAACUGACGCUGAGGAGCGAAAGCAUGGGAGCGAACAGG
rnacentral:rRNA from 1 species